UGACCAUAUAUUGGCAUAUCAUCAAUUUUUAAUUUGUUGUGGCACACCUUGUUGUAUAUUGAGGCUUGAAGAUGCUCAAGUAAAUAUUUUUGAUGCGUGUGUUGAUGAAGGCUAAAGUCCAAUGAAAAUAAAAAGCAGAAAUUAUCCUGACCUUCCCUUCCCUACUAACCUCCAACCUCCAACCUAUCAGCCUACAAACCACCGUUCAGACUUCAUCUACACGCAGGUUUAACAUUUUAUGAUAAAGUAAAAAAUGCUCAGCUUGUAAUCCAAUGCCUUUCAAAACCAAUAGGCCUUUUUGGCCUUGCGAAUGGUUAACGGAGAGAGAGAGUUACCUAACUCUAUCAUGUAAAAGCUGCUUUGAGAAAAUAGCACUGUGUUUUAUCCUGGCUUCAUGACUCUCUAACGCUCUUUCAAACACAUGGUUGUUUUCUGACAAUUGGUGAUACAGAGAGGGUCUGCAUUAAUGUCCAAGUAUGGUCAUUUAGGAUCAAUUUUUGGUGCCCUCGUUUUAUAUUAUUCCAGCACUCCAGCAGCCUUACCCCGCGUUCGAUGUCUCUCGGAUGACGAAGAUUCUACGUCGUCCAGCCAAUCCCGUCCAAGGACUCGUGGCGCUGCUCGCCUCCUCGCCAAUGCGAACGCGUUCUCUGAGGACAACCCGCCCAAGGCUAGUAUGGCGAAGCCACGCCACCGCGCCGGCUAUAGACUCACGGCCUGAAGCGAGUUUGGGCGCGACGGCUGGCGAGCCAAGGCGGCGGAAAGUCGUCUGGCGGAGCUCCCGUCUGAGGCGAGCUUGAUCUGGUCAGACAUCUCCGCCACCGAUGGUGUGCUAGAUGGAGGAGGAGGGGCCACCCCCCCCCCCUGAACCGCGACAUCCGGGAGGUGCGUGUCGCGGCAGGCGCCCUCUGCUCUAGCACGCGCGGCGAGCUAUUCGCCCUAAGAGCGGUGUUGGAGGAGCUGUUGACCAAGACUGGUCGCGACACCUCUCUUCCGAUAAUUAUCGUCUGUACCGACUCGAUGGCGGCGCUGGCCCUCCUGCGGAGCGGCGCGGCGGCCCAGAGAGCCCCUCUGGCCGCAGACAUAUGGGGGCUGCUGGCAGCGCUCACCGAGGGGGCCAGCCAGUGAUAAUGCAGUGGGUUCCUGCACACUGCGGGCUUCCGGGCAACGAGCGGAUGGACGCCCUCGCGCGCGAGGCUGGCGCCCUAUCCCAACGGUAGCGCCGUCCGCCGAUCGACUUGGGCAGCACUAUCUGCAAGGCAGGCGCGCGCGACGCUGCGCGCGCCUGGCGGCGGAGCUGGCAGGACGGAUGACCCUGGCUGCCGCCGUGAGAACCAUCCAGAACCGUACGGCUAUGCUGCGGCAGCGGCUGAAAGGAACGCAACAACAAUAACUACAACAGCAGCUGCUAAUGAAAGGGGAAAUCAUGGAGCCGGAUGACCCGGCACAUGGCGCUCAGCCAGCUGAGAAUGAGAGCAGCUAUCAAAUCGCCAGCAGGGUGCUGCGGCUGGUAACUGACGACCUUGGUAGAGAGAGCGCCUCCGCUGAUGCGGAUGAAACUACCCCCUCUCGGGUUUGUUUGACGCCGUCUCCGUCGACUCUUUCGCCUGGGCCGGCUGGCGACCGCGCUACAUUUUUUGUGCAGUGACUCGUAACUGUGUUCACCAAACUUUCAAAACUCCCCUCGUUAGCAUCUUUAAAGAAUGUUUUCCUUGUACACUGCUGCAAUGUCUUAUGUAGGCAUGUUGUACAGUCUAAACGAGUGUGGAAUGCUUUGUUGUGCUUGUUCUGUAUUUCGUUUGCUAUUUAUCACGGUGACUAUAAUUUAUUUUGACCAACUCUUGCCUUGUUACAAUUUUAGUGGAUGGUUUCUGAACUGCUGUUUGCAUUAUAGAUGUUGCUAGUGCGUAGACGCCAAAGAUUACUUUAUACCUAUUGACGCGCCAGAUAAAGGAGGUGAAGUAUUCCUCUGAUCUAUACCUACGGAAUUCCUUUAUGUGUGUUUUGUAAUCGAUAUUGGCGGUUUUCUUAUGUGAUGCGGUGUAGAGCGUG
rnacentral:lncRNA from 1 species